rfam:Sus scrofa isolate TJ Tabasco breed Duroc chromosome 4, whole genome shotgun sequence.
GUCUACAGCUAUACCACCCUGAAUGCAUCCAUCUCAUCUGAUCUCAGACACUAAGUAGGGUUGGGCCUGGUUAGUACUUGGAUGAAGACUACCUGGGAAUACUGGGCUGAGCUCU